rnacentral:lncRNA from 10 species
GGAUGGGAGGCCUACCAGGCCCUGAACAGAGAGUGCGUGCUGCCCACCUUCAUGAGGAGCCGGUGCUGCAGGUCCAGAGGUGCCUCUUUAAAGAAAGAUGCCAGCUUGUCGUAGACGGUCACAGCCCUGCAAUGAAAUCAUGGCAGGACUAUUGCAUUAGUCCAGCGUGGAGGCUACUUUCUGCUCAAACCACUCAUUUGGGUCCCGUGCCCAACGUCACCCAUCCUCAGCAAAACCACCAUUAUUUCCUUCUGCCUGGUUUCCAGAAAGUUCCCCUAAAGCCCUGAGGAAUCACCGAAUGAAAGGGGCUUUUUACAAACAGGAAACUUAAGUGGAGUGCCAAUACACAACAUGGAUUGCAGCAGGCUCGGUCUAAGAUAAAACCAGACGGUGGACAACAGGCCAGGUUUUUGCUUGUCUGAUGACUGAUGGCUCCACCCAGACCUGCCAACCACUCCCGCGGCCCCAUCCAGAAGUGGCUCAGCGUGCAUGA